UUUUGAACUUAAGAUUUAAGAUGAUUCACGCCGGAUUGAGAAAAAGAAUUUAUUUUAAUUCCAACAAAAAUGAUUUACAAAAGCAUUUGUAAAUUUAGUAAUUAAAUUAUAUGCAUUGCAUAUUUAUUUAAUUUAGCAUUCAAGCAUUUUUUUUACGAGCUUUUAUUUAAGCAAACACUGAACGAUUAUUACAGUUUUCAUAGUACAACCUGGAAGACUUUUUAUUUUAUUUUAUCUUAUUUUAUUUUAUUCCUACACCUACUCCCUCACCUAACAUAUACCACCUACCUCCCUCAAAAUAAGCUGUCACCUACUACCACCACUUUAAAGCAACCCCAAUUAAACUUUAAGCCAUACGCCUAUGAACAUAGGCAAUCAAAUGCUCCAUAACUCCUCUGCAUCCAUAAGUAUACCAUAUCCAAGCUCUCCUUUACUCAAUUCAUACAAAUUAUUUGCUGUGCCACGUUGAAACAGAAAGCAAUUCAUUCUCCUCACAAAUCAAGCAAUCGAACCAUUUCAGAUUUCAACGGCUCAACUCAAAGCCCUUCCUCAAACUAGUAGAACACUCAGGCAUAACAUCAAGAAAAAGCUCAGCCUUUCCUAUCAAGGCUUCGAGCAUCAGAAGGAUUAGCACUGCUAUUCCGAUUCAGAGAUAAGGUUAAACGACAGGCUUUGCCUAUACAGGUUGAGCAGUUGAUGGAAUGGAAUGAUGUUGAGCGGGUGUUCCUUUGACAUUUCAAGAAAUGUAACCUUGAGUAUACAUCUUCAUAUGUAUAUCUCACACGUUUUCCGCUGCAAAACACUUUGAUUAGGAUAACUCCAUGUUAUGAAGUUGUUACACGUGUUAUUGGGUAACCCACCUUAAUCAGUUCUCUUUUAUGUGUAUGUUUUACAAGUAUCCAAAUGAUCAUAUAUGAUCCUAGCUUUUUAUCUAU